ACGGGUGAGGAACACGUAGGAAUCUACCCAGAAGCGGGGGAUAACCAAGGGAAACUUUGGCUAAUACCGCAUAAUCUCGCGAGAGAAAAGGCGCCCGCAAGGGUGUCACUUCUGGAAGGGCCUGCGUCCGAUUAGCUAGUUGGUGAGGUAAGAGCUCACCAAGGCAAUGAUCGGUAACUGGUCUGAGAGGACGACCAGUCACACUGGGACUGAGACACGGCCCAGACUCCUACGGGAGGCAGCAGUGGGGAACAUUGGACAAUGGGGGCAACCCUGAUCCAGCGAUGCCGCGUGGGUGAAGAAGGCCUUCGGGUUGUAAAGCCCUUUAGGUUGGGAAGAAGUUGGUUGGGUGAAUAUCCCGAUCGAUUGACGGUACCGACAGAAUAAGCACCGGCAAACUCUGUGCCAGCAGCCGCGGUAAUACAGAGGGUGCAAGCGUUAAUCGGAGUUACUGGGCGUAAAGGGCGCGUAGGCGGUUAUAUGUGUGUGAUGUGAAAGCCCUGGGCUUAACCUAGGAAGUGCAUCGCAAACUGUAUAACUGGAGUAUAUGAGAGGGUGGCGGAAUUUCCGGUGUAGCG
rnacentral:rRNA from 1 species